AUUGAACGCUGGCGGCAGGCCUAACACAUGCAAGUCGAGCGGAUGAAGGGAGCUUGCUCCUGGAUUCAGCGGCGGACGGGUGAGUAAUGCCUAGGAAUCUGCCUGGUAGUGGGGGAUAACGUCCGGAAACGGGCGCUAAUACCGCAUACGUCCUGAGGGUGAAAGAGGGGGAUCUUCGGACCUCACGCUAUUAGAUGAGCCCAGGUCGGAUUAGCUAGUUGGUGGGGUAAAGGCCUACCAAGGCGACGACCCGUAACUGGUCUGAGAGGAUGAUCAGUCACACUGGAACGGAGAAACGGUCCAGACUCCUACGGGAGGCGGCAGAGGGGAAUAUUGGACAAUGGGCGAAGUCCUGAUCCAGCCAUGCCGCGUGUGUGAAGAAGUUCUUCGGAUUGUAAAGCACUUUAAGUUGGGAGGAAGGGCAGUAAGUUAAUACCUUGCUGUUUUGACGUUACCAACAGAAUAAGCACCGGCUAACUUCGUG
rnacentral:rRNA from 1 species